AGAGGUGACAAGAAAUAUCAGGGUUCCUGGAUGGUGAUGCUGGUUGUGCAGAUCGUUGUGCAGAGAUUUCCAGGGCGGAGGCUGCAUUAUCAUGAUGGGUCACAGCCAUUUGCAUGGCACGAUGUGAGCGAUGCAUCAGCCCGAGACUCUGUUAAAAGCAGUUUACAGAAAAAUACAAGGGAAGAAAAAAGCUUCUUUCGGUCCUAGUCAUCACCAAAGAGCUCAUUGGAAAAUAUCUGCUCAGUGCAUGGCAGUGCUCAGGAAAGCAGAUGUGUUAAUAUAUGGAGAGAGAAUAAUAGUGAAACGGUGACAGAUUGGAUUUAGAAAUGGGGGUCGUGAGCUCCCCGUGAAUGCGGUGUUCAGCUCGGGGUACCAUAACUCAAAAAUGAUGUAGCAGAAAGAGAAGGGAUUUGGAGAAGGGCAACGAAUCUAAUCGAAGGCAUGAAAAAGAUUUCAGCGGAAAGACUUGCACGUAAGGAGAGAGUGCCAAGAUUAGGUCUAGUUAGCUUAGAAAGAAGAAGCGGUAGCAGUCGGCAAGAGAGAGACACUAUAAUGAACAUCAUAAAGAAGGUCAACUGGCUGUUCUUUCUUACCUAUGAAAAAGGGGCACCAAGUGAAAUUCAAAGGCAACCCUCAGAACACUGUUUAAAGGAAAUAUUUUAACCCAAGUUAUAAUUAGCCUAUGGGACUCAUUGCCACAUGGUAUCACACCGAGACCAAGGGCCUAAUAGGAUGUAUAUAAACAACAAUAUCAGCUAGCUAGAGUUUCAACCUUCUUGCUGCAGGCCUUACACUAAGCAAAACUUUCUUCUUCGGCAGAUUAUUGCAUAAUCAUCCAUUGUGGGAUUUUCCAGCUUGCUUGGAAGCAGCUGGCACUGCUCAUUCUCCAGACCACAGCUUGGCUCCAGAGGUUUGCAUUCUGUGUCCCUACGUUUCUUUGUGGCAAUGGGGGCUUUACAAUUCAUGGAUAAAAUACUUUUUUCCAGUUCUUGACCAGUUUCCACAUGCUUGGACUGUAAGUGCAUCAGUGUUAGUGAUCAGGGUUGUUUAGAAGAUGAGACUUUUUGGCAUCCCAUUUAUGCGAUCUCAUUGGCCUUCCUUUUUAUUUCUCUCAUCCCUGGCUGAUCUGUGUCCUUUCCUGCCUUUAAUUAUUGCAGAUUUUGGAGCCAUCAUUCCAACUGGCUGCCAUCAAUAAACUGAUUAAUUUCAUUAUUUUGUUGGCUUCACAAAAUGGUUAUCCUGAAGUGACUGAUACUAGGGCUGGGUGGAUUGCAGAAUGUCUGUUUGAUUUUGGUAAAGAGCAUAAAAAAUUGGCACUUUGAUUUAGACCUGUAGUUAUAAAGCUUUUAUUAGUAAGAUGCUGUAUGUUUAAUCAACAUUUGCAGUGACUUUUAAAGGGGUCAUUUUCUUUACAAAACCUCUGUGAUUUCCAAGUGUCACAGUGUAAGUUCUUAGCUAUUGUAGGGCAUAUCUUGCCUUUUUUUUUUCAUUUAAAAAAUGGUAAAAGGGCAAAACAUACAUGAAAAUAAAAACCCAUGGCAUGUGAUUUGCUUUAAGAUGCAUGAGAUCUAAUCUCUGAUUAAGGAGCAACCAGCCUGUUUGGAGGAAGGCUAGUGUACGGACUGGACACCAUAGAUAACAGCCUGAGUCAGAGGCCUUGCUCUGCAUAAUUCCCAGCUCACCCUCUGCCCAAACACACACACAAUCUGGGACAAAUUAUGGCUGUCCCUCAUGAGACUGGACAGCACAGGGGAGAAGAUUCAGGACUUGGCACAAUUAUGAGCCAGAUAUCCCAGUAUUGCCAACCCCAUACAUUAAAAGAUAUGAAUCCAGCCCCCCCAGAUAUCAUGAGGUUAGCUUAAAAAAACCUCAUGAUUUAAAAUAAAUCAAACAUUGGACUUUUUUUUUUGCCUUCUUUUCUAUAGCGUUGGGUUGUGUUUUCGAGCUUUUCUCUGCAACCAUGAAGUUUAGAAAUUUACCAUUAUUUUUUCAUGGAAGCUGAGAUUCUCACAUAAUCACAGGACUCCAGGAGAUGGGGCUUUAAGAAAAAUGCCAACUAAUAUGAUACUCACAAUAAAAUCACAAGAGUAGACAGCACUGCUACUCCCUCCAUACUUCCCUGGGAAUACACACAAUUGCACCACAGUUCUGGCCAUCCUCUUCUCCAGACUGGCCUGUAGAAUGGGUCUGGUGUGUGGGAGAAUAUGCUACGGCCCCCAGAAGGUUACAGCAGUGGCUGUUCUCCCUUGUGAGAUAGGAAACUCUGGGUAGCAUUCUCACUAUAGUACUUGUUUGAGGUGAAUUGAAAAAUACUGUUUCUUUUGUUUAUCUUUUUUACGGUGCAAAUAUUUAUAAUAAAAAAUAAUA